rnacentral:misc_RNA from 1 species
GCUGGAUGUUCUUCCUUCUUCUCUGUUACAUGGUGUUCUUCUGAGUCCUUAAAAACGGCUUCAACAUCAUCCAAGUUGGUGUCUCCUUUCUCCACAAAGACGGGGGGUUUAUAAUCUUUCUUAAACCAUUCAUCUUCCAAGAUUUCAGGUAUAGUGAUGCGAGUCAUAGGGUUAGGAUCCAAAAUUUUAGUUAUUAAUUUCAUGGCGCCAAAAGAAAGCCAAGGAGGGUAAGUGAACUCAGCCACUGAAAUUUUUUUAUACAGGUUCAUAAUAUUACCAUCAUCAAAAGGCAAG